UAAUGCAGUCGAGCGAACUGAUUAGAAGCUUGCUUCUAUGACGUUAGCGGCGGACGGGUGAGUAACACGUGGGCAACCUGCCUGUAAGACUGGGAUAACUUCGGGAAACCGAAGCUAAUACCGGAUAGGAUCUUCUCCUUCAUGGGAGAUGAUUGAAAGAUGGUUUCGGCUAUCACUUACAGAUGGGCCCGCGGUGCAUUAGCUAGUUGGUGAGGUAACGGCUCACCAAGGCAACGAUGCAUAGCCGACCUGAGAGGGUGAUCGGCCACACUGGGACUGAGACACGGCCCAGACUCCUACGGGAGGCAGCAGUAGGGAAUCUUCCGCAAUGGACGAAAGUCUGACGGAGCAACGCCGCGUGAGUGAUGAAGGCUUUCGGGUCGUAAAACUCUGUUGUUAGGGAAGAACAAGUACGAGAGUAACUGCUCGUACCUUGACGGUACCUAACCAGAAAGCCACGGCUAACUACGUGCCAGCAGCCGCGGUAAUACGUAGGUGGCAAGCGUUAUCCGGAAUUAUUGGGCGUAAAGCGCGCGCAGGCGGUUUCUUAAGUCUGAUGUGAAAGCCCACGGCUCAACCGUGGAGGGUCAUUGGAAACUGGGGAACUUGAGUGCAGAAGAGAAAAGCGGAAUUCCACGUGUAGCG
rnacentral:rRNA from 2 species